AGCUUCUGUCCAAUUACAUUAGUCACUUCCUUUUCAAGGAAAAUCUUUCCCAAUGAAAGAAGUUUCUCAACAUUGUUGCAUCUGCAAAGGUAUAAAAGAGACAGUGAACGUUCAGAGCAGCAUCACAACUACCUUCUUGAUCUUCUGUUGAACCUGCUAAGAGUCAACUGAAGGAAACCAUGCUGAAGAUAGCACUUGUGCUUGAAUGCCUCCUGAGCCUUACUCUGGCUAAAUCUAUGGAGGGUCAUCAUCCUUCUCAUCAUUCCAAACACAAACACCACUCUGGGUCGAGUUCACAUGAGGCAACCACCUCUGCAACAAGUACUACCAAUGCAGCUGCAAGUACUACCACUGCAGCUGCAAGUACUACCACUGCAGCUGCAACUACUACCACUGCAGCUGCAACUACUACCACUGCAGCUGCAACUACUACCACUGCAGCUGCAACAACCACACCACCGACUACUACUACUCCUUCAGCAACUUCUUAAAAAUGCAAAAAAGUGACAUGGAGCGAGAGAUCAAGGAGUGAUAGAAAAUCAUCUUAUAAUGAAUUGUUGACAUUGUUUAGCACUUGAUCUGUAUUGUUCAGAAUUUGUGAAGACAAAUUAAAAUCAAGGUUUUCUUGCAAAAAUA